AGCGUAGGCGGACAUUUAAGUCAGGGGUGAAAUCCCGGGGCUCAACCUCGGAAUUGCCUUUGAUACUGGGUGUCUUGAGUAUGAGAGAGGUGUGUGGAACUCCGAGUGUAGAGGUGAAAUUCGUAGAUAUUCGGAAGAACACCAGUGGCGAAGGCGACACACUGGCUCAUUACUGACGCUGAGGCUCGAAAGCGUGGGGAGCAAACA
rnacentral:rRNA from 2 species